rnacentral:rRNA from 1 species
GAUGAACGCUGGCGGCGUGCCUAAUACAUGCAAGUCGAGCGAAUGGAUUAAGAGCUUGCUCUUAUGAAGUUAGCGGCGGACGGGUGAGUAACACGUGGGUAACCUGCCCAUAAGACUGGGAUAACUCCGGGAAACCGGGGCUAAUACCGGAUAAUAUUUUGAACUGCAUGGUUCAAUAUUGAAAGGCGGCUUCGGCUGUCACUUAUGGAUGGACCCGCGUCGCAUUAGCUAGUUGGUGAGGUAACGGCUCACCAAGGCAACGAUGCGUAGCCGACCGGAGAGGGUGGUCGGCCACACUGGGACUGAGACACGGCCCAGACUCCUACGGGAGGCAGCAGUAGGGAAUCUUCCGCAAUGGACGAAAGUCUGACGGAGCAACGCCGCGUGAGUGAUGAAGGCUUUCGGGUCGUAAAACUCUGUUGUUAGGGAAGAACAAGUGCUAGUUGAAUAAGCUGGCACCUUGACGGUACCUAACCAGAAAGCCACGGCUAACUACGUGCCAGCCGCCGCCGUAA